rnacentral:hammerhead_ribozyme from 1 species
ACGGCUGACGAGUCCCAAAUAGGACGAAACGCGCGUCCUGGAU